rnacentral:rRNA from 1 species
CCUACGGGAGGCAGCAGUGAGGAAUAUUGGUCAAUGGGCGAGAGCCUGAACCAGCCAAGUCGCGUGAGGGAGUACUGCCCUAUGGGUUGUAAACCUCUUUUGUCGGGGAGCAAAAGCCGGACGUGUCCGGCUGUGAGAGUACCCGAAGAAAAAGCAUCGGCUAACUCCGUGCCAGCAGCCGCGGUAAUACGGAGGAUGCGAGCGUUAUCCGGAUUUAUUGGGUUUAAAGGGUGCGCAGGCGGAUUUUUAAGUCAGCGGUAAAAUCGUGGGGCUCAACCCCAUCCAGCCGUUGAAACUGGGGAUCUAGAGUGUGCGAGAGGUAUGCGGAAUGCGUGGUGUAGCGGUGAAAUGCAUAGAUAGCACGCAGAACCCCGAUUGCGAAGGCAGCAUACCGGUGCACAACUGACGCUCAGGCACGAAAGCGUGGGUAUCGAACAGGAUUAGAGACCCUGGUAGUC